rnacentral:rRNA from 2 species
UACGGAGGGUGCAAGCGUUAAUCGGAAUUACUGGGCGUAAAGCGCGCGUAGGCGGCUUGAUAAGUCGGAUGUGAAAUCCCUGGGCUCAACCUGGGAACUGCAUUCGAUACUGUCUGGCUAGAGUGUGGGAGAGGGUGGUGGAAUUCCCGGUGUAGCGGUGAAAUGCGUAGAUAUCGGGAGGAACAUCAGUGGCGAAGGCGACCGCCUGGCCCAACACUGACGCUGAGGUGCGAAAGCGUGGGUAGCAAACAGG